AUGAGAAGAGCUUGCUCUUCGAUUCAGCGGCGGACGGGUGAGUAAUGCCUAGGAAUCUGCCUGGUAGUGGGGGACAACGUUUCGAAAGGAACGCUAAUACCGCAUACGUCCUACGGGAGAAAGCAGGGGACCUUCGGGCCUUGCGCUAUCAGAUGAGCCUAGGUCGGAUUAGCUAGUUGGUGAGGUAAUGGCUCACCAAGGCGACGAUCCGUAACUGGUCUGAGAGGAUGAUCAGUCACACUGGAACUGAGACACGGUCCAGACUCCUACGGGAGGCAGCAGUGGGGAAUAUUGGACAAUGGGCGAAAGCCUGAUCCAGCCAUGCCGCGUGUGUGAAGAAGGUCUUCGGAUUGUAAAGCACUUUAAGUUGGGAGGAAGGGCAUUAACCUAAUACGUUAGUGUUUUGACGUUACCGACAGAAUAAGCACCGGCUAACUCUGUGCCAGCAGCCGCGGUAAUACAGAGGGUGCAAGCGUUAAUCGGAAUUACUGGGCGUAAAGCGCGCGUAGGUGGUUUGUUAAGUUGGAUGUGAAAGCCCCGGGCUCAACCUGGGAACUGCAUCCAAAACUGGCAAGCUAGAGUACGGUAGAGGGUGGUGGAAUUUCCUGUGUAGCGGUGAAAUGCGUAGAUAUAGGAAGGAACACCAGUGGCGAAGGCGACCACCUGGACUGAUACUGACACUGAGGUGCGAAAGCGUGGGGAGCAAACAGGAUUAGAUACCCUGGUAGUCCACGCCGUAAACGAUGUCAACUAGCCGUUGGAAUCCUUGAGAUUUUAGUGGCGCAGCUAACGCAUUAAGUGACCGCCUGGUACGCCUGAAAAAAA
rnacentral:rRNA from 1 species